rnacentral:rRNA from 1 species
AGUGAACGCUGGCGGUAGGCCUAACACAUGCAAGUCGAACGGCAGCACAGUAAGAGCUUGCUCUUACGGGUGGCGAGUGGCGGACGGGUGAGGAAUACAUCUGAAUCUACUUUUUCGUGGGGGCUAACGUAGGGAAACUUACGCUAAUACCGCAUACGACCUACGGGUGAAAGCAGGGGAUCUUCGGACCUUGCGCGAUUGAAUGAGCCGAUGUCGGAUUAGCUAGUUGGCAGGGUAAAGGCCCACCAAGGCGACGAUCCGUAGCUGGUCUGAGAGGAUGAUCAGCCACACUGGAACUGAGACACGGUCCAGACUCCUACGGGAGGCAGCAGUGGGGAAUAUUGGACAAUGGGCGCAAGCCUGAUCCAGCCAUACCGCGUGGGUGAAGAAGGCCUUCGGGUUGUAAAGCCCUUUUGUUGGGAAAGAAAAGCAGCAGGUUAAUACCCCGCUGUUCUGACGGUACCCAAAGAAUAAGCACCGGCUAACUUCGUG